CGGAGCCAUUGUUCAAUGGAGGCCCUCUCAAGGACAUCCUUUCCCAGGAGGAAAGGAUACCCCUGAUGCUCGUAGGUCUCUGCUAGAUAGCGACAGAUUGCUCUUGAAUCUGCAGUUUAUAGGACAGGCUGUAGGUGAUACUAAUAAGAAUUGAGAGUGACACAUACAAAGGUGAAUUUUUUCAAAUCUGGCACAUCUUCAUUUCUCUUCACAGCAAUAACUGCUAUAAAAUAUCUUCAAUCUUUGUGAGAGAACAAUGUCAUCAGUAUAUAUCUGCCUAUAUCAUUGUAUACACAGUUGAUCUUUUAUGCACAAGUUAUGAAAGUUCUGCUUCUAAAGUUAAGAUUAUUAAUUAAGUAGUUACUUUGAAGAAGAAAAUAGUAAUAUUAGACCAUAUGUUUUUUUGUUGCUGCAAAUAUACUGAUGUCAUAACAAUUUUAGAUGGACAGACUGGUACAAAAUGUUGUCUCAUACUACGGUCGUUUCAGCCUGAACUAAUAUGGCAGUAUUUUUUUUUUGAAAAAAAAAAGCUAGAACUAAUUAGAAGAAUUUUAUGCAAGAUUCUGCCUUGGAAUGAUAAUAACAACCUUAUUACUGCUCUUGUAAUCUGAUUGUUUUCUAAUGACACGAUCAGUUUACUUGUGGUUUACUUUGUGUUUUCUCUGAAAAAAAUGCAUAUGGCUUUUACAUGAAAAUGUUGUUCACCAGGCUUCUCAUACUGUUGUUCUUUUUGGUAUGUGAUUCACCUUUUUAAGUUAUUCACUUGGACAACAUAUCAUAUUCUGAUAUUUGCAUGUUUGGCUUGCAACAUAUUUUGUCAAUGCAUCUGAGACCUUAAAGAAUUAUGUAGUUGGGAUGGCUCAAUGAUUACACAAGCUAGUGACAUUACCUUGAAGAAAUACAGGUCCAUCAUAGAAUGGAACCGGAACACUCCUUGAUGCCUGGAGACGAAUGAACAGGAUAUAAAAGUUGAGAUGAGAUCGAGUUGUUUUGAGCCAAGCAAACUUCUUCUACUAUUUUGUUGUUGCAAGGAACAUUGGGAUAUAUAAAGUACCUGGAGGCUUAGUAUGUCCUUGUAAGAGGCUUUGAUUGUCUCAAACUUAACAUUUUUCUCGUACAGGCAUGUGAGCACCCUUGAUACAUCGGGCAAGAUCAUGGACUUCUCAUGGUACACAUUCACCACGGGAGGCCCUGCUCCAGUGCUAAGGCUUGCCAUGGCGGCAAGAGCUCAGGCUCGCUGGCUGGAAGAACUGAAGGUAAUGGUGUGCAAGUGCGGCGACACAACCGUCAUUGUUUUAAUAUUAGAAGUUAUGUUCGGGCCUGCUUGAAGAAGCAAAGAGAAGAUGCUUAAAGUGUGGUAGAGUGAGAAGCAGGACUACAAAUAAUAAAAGUGAAAAGUAAGAAAGAAAAAAAGAGGAGGAAAGGAAAAGGUAAAGUGACCUAUACCUGGAGGAAUUUGGACUGUAGAUCGUGUUAUUUAUGUAUCCAUAGUCCAUACCAUAAGCUUAUAUCUGUUAU